rnacentral:rRNA from 1 species
AAUAUUGGACAAUGUGGGCAACCCUGAUCCAUCCAUGCCGCGUGUGUGAAGAAGGUCUUCGGAUUGUAAAGCACUUUAAGUUGGUAGUAUGGGCUUUAGGUUAAUACCCUGCAGUUUUGACGUUACCAACAGAAUAAGCACGGGCUAACUCUGUGCCAGCAGCCGCGGUAAUACAGAGGGUGCAAGCGUUAAGAGGAAUUACUGGGCGUAAAGCGCGCGUAGGUGGUUCAGUAAGAUGGGUGUGAAAUCCCCGGGCUUAACCUGGGAACUGCUUUCAUAACUGCUGAGCUAGAGUACGGUAGAGGGUAGUGGAAUUUCCUGUGUAGCGGUGAAAUGCGUAGAUAUAGGAAGGAACACAAGUGGCGAAGGCGACUACCUGGACUGAUACUGACACUGAGGUGCGAAAGCGUGGGGAGCAAAC